GACGAACGCUGGCGGCGUGCUUAACACAUGCAAGUCGAGCGGUAAGGCCCUUUCGGGGGUAACGACGAGCGGCGAACGGGUGAGUAACACGUGGGUGACCUGCCCUCAGCUCUGGGAUAAGCCUGGGAAACCGGGUCUAAUACUGGAUAUGACUCCAUGACGCAUGUUGUGGGGUGGAAAGCCUUGGUGCGGCUGAGGAUGGGCCCGCGGCCUAUCAGUUAGUUGGCGGGGUAACGGCCCACCAAGACUGGGACGGGUAGCCGGUCUGAGAGGAUGGUCGGCC
rnacentral:rRNA from 1 species